UGAUCAUCCUUCUCUUCAGUUAUUUCAAGUCUCAGAAGACAUGGUCUCCAGUUCAAUUUGGAGCUAGCGGGCCCUAGGUGGAACCAAAAGGAUGCCCGGAACCAAUUGUAAAGGCGGCUUGUUUAAUACCCACACUCCUUUCAUGUAGGCUACAAGCCACGUAAGCCUGGGGAAGAGUUUUGCUGAUGUACCGGGAAGGCUUCCAAGGCUUCCUUAGUUUUAUGAGAUUGCGCAGUGGUGGGUUCUGAGAAUUAGGCGGGUUCCCAGGCUUAGGAGGCCGUUCCCUAUUUUCGCAACAAUAAUGGCGCUGGUAUGUGCCCGCUGCCCGGUGGGAUAGUGGGAGGGCUCCGGGCUCCAGGGUUUGGGGAAAGUGUCGCAUUUCGUCCAGGAACCUGGAGCGCAACAAGUCCACAAGUUCCCCUGAGGGAGCUACCACUCUCCCAGGCACUCCCGCUCUUGGUCAAGGGAUCCAAAUGGCCUCAGGAAUCAGCUGGGUGGCUGCAGCCAAGGUUACCAAAACCGGCUCUACUGCCCUGGUUCAAGUUAUCUUUAGGGAGAGUAGGUCUUAGUGUCGCGCAACACCUGCUUCGCUUUUGCCUCCUCGACUGCCUGUUUCGAUCCCUGCAGGAGCUACAAGCCUUGGCCUAGCCUCCUGGACCAGGACAGGGAGGAGGUCGGUGAGAAUGAUGCGCCUUUGCUCAGUGCACCUGCCUUCUGAGUCUGUUUCAUCUUUCCCCCCACUUUGGACCAUUUGCCUUUCGCUUCCUUCUACCUUCCUUGCACCCGUUUUCAUUUUUUUCUUCAGCCUGUCCAUGGCAGCCCUUUAUUUGCCUUUUUCCUUCCUUAAUUCUCACUUACCCAUGGUCCCCUUCUUCACACAGUGCCCUGGUCUCCUUUCACCCCCUUCCACUUCUGGUUUUACAGCAGACAUGGACAAGGCUUGCAGACCUAUGAAUAGCAUUUAUUUGUUUUGUGUUCUUAUUUUUGAACAAGUUUUUAUUUUCCACUACACUUAGUGGAAAGGAGGAGUUCUGUGAGUUAUUCAUCAUAAAAUUUGCUGUAUUUAUCAUUUAGUAAGAGCUCAACCGUUGCUUGUUGAAUGAAUAUCGAUUGGUUGCAGAUGAUAACAGGAUGUGUAAAUGGAAAUUCUUUGUAGGGAGUUGGGAAGAAUUGAAGUUAAAGGUUUAAAUUGGAAAGUAGAAAAACCUUCCUCUAAAGACAUGAUUGGAUGAAUGUUGGGAAAGUGAUGUGCUAAAAUACAGAGGAGGCUACCCUGAGAAAGAUCUUGUUAAGUUGUCUCUGUCUUCCACUAGAGGAAGGAAGGGAGGGUGAGAUUAGUUUUCUUUAUUGAAAGUGAGUAUUGGAGUGGAAAAAUAGUUUAAGAAGGAGAAGAAAGAGUUAUAAUUAUUGCUGUGUAAGUAUUCAUAUCUAAUGUUUAUUGAAUGUGUCAGGUAGCAUACUAAGUGCCUUGAAUGUGUUAAAAAUGAGAAAUUUAAAAAUAUUCCAGGUAUUGAGGGGUAGGUUGAAAUGACAGCAGUUGCAACAUGUCUUGAUGGUUUUUUUCUUCUGGCAGUGAGAGGUAAUAAAGCAUAGUGAGAAAAAGGAUAGUUGCAGGUUUAUAACUGAGUUUGAAGCCCUGCUUUGCCACUUAAUACCUGUGUGACUGGGUGUGGACAGUUUAGCUAAGCUGCUCCAUGAUAUUGCUACUUUGGCAUCCAUUUUGUUUGGCCAAGUGACUUUCAGGGACCUUACGUUGACAUUACCUCCCUCAUGCAACCACAUGCCCUAGAUAGCAGCCUACCAGAGUCACAAGCAAAUGUAAUUCCUGAUACCACUUCCCCAGCAACCCUUGUGGUCAACUGUCUCCCCUGCUUCCCAGCACCUGUAUGCUGUAUGGGCCCCUUAAAUAUGAUCCCCCAGGGCUGAGCAAAAUCUCACUCUUUUGGUUUAAAUGGGCUGAUCUGGUCCGAGCCUGGGAAGCCUAAAACACGCCACUCAUAGACCCUAAUAAAGGUAUAUGCCCAGGUCCAUUCUCUGCCUACACUCUGUCUUGACCUCCCUAUGUGGACCCUCCAGUCACACUGUGUACUUCCUCCCAGAUCUGUGAGUAAUAAACUAUUUCAGUUACUGUUAUGGUCUGUUGUUGAACUUUGCCUCACCAUCCACUUAACAAAUGUUAAUUAACAAAGUCAAAACAUUGGGAAAGUUCCUUAACCUCUCUAAGCUUCAUUUCUUCACCUGUAAAAAGGAGAUAAAAAUAGUGCUGACAUUUUUAGUGUUGUAAUUAUCUACUACCUGGAACAUAAUACAUAUUCCACGAUUAUAAUGGCGGCUUGUUUACACUAAUACCCACACUCCUGUCAGGUAGGCUGCAAGCCACGUAGGCCUGGGGAAGGGUUUUGCCAAUGUACUAGGAAGGUUUCCACAGUUUCCUUAGCUUUUGGAGGUUGCACAUUAGCUAUUAGGGUUUCAUGCCUGGGAGCAGAAAUGGUAAAAACAGCCCUUAAUUAGUGGAGACCCACCUCUCCAAGUUAAAUGUUUCAGAAAGUUGCCCCCAGUCUGUCAAUCAAAAAUCAAACAACUUGUUUUAGAAUCUUAACCAAAAUAUGUAAGAACACCGUGUAUGAAAUUUGCAUUUGUGCAUGUAGAAGAUAAAUAAUUUAUCUUAAGAGUACAGAUGAAACCAGUUAGUAGUAGGGACCAUUUUAAUGGUGUCCUAUUCACCCUGUUGGUGAGGAAGGGAUGACUUCCCUAGGGUUAUGGGGAGACUAAACACAGGACACCUGACACUCGACCAAUGAGACCCAGAGGCUGGCAAGGUAUUAAGACUCACUACCCAGGGAUAAUCUGGAACUAUUCCUGGUUCCUUUGUUAAAGAGGGUUGUUUGGCUAGGGGCCCACAUCUGCAGGAGCAGACUGGGGAGGGGAAUUUGCAGUUAGGCCACUGGAGGCCCUGACUGCAAAUGUCUAGGCAGGCAGCACAUAAUAGUGUGCCUUAAUUUUAUGCUUUAUGCCUUAAGGACUCUGUGUCUUUACAGUCUGGUAGGCUCCAUUGGCUCAUACUCAUAUAUUAGAAGUGCUGUUAUUUGUGUGUUUACUUUUCCUUCUUUUUUUUUCUUUGCAGGCUGUCAUUUAUUUUCCACUUGGUGAAAAGCACACCAUUACAGGGUGUCAGGAAGGCUCACAUGUGGCUUGGAUAGCAAAGAGCAGGGCUCUCUCACCUCCUUUUUGGUGUUUUGCUGUUUUGAUAUAAAAGAACCCAGCUGGAACUGCUUUUGC